UCUCUCUCUCUCUCUCUCUCUCUCUUCCUGACAAAUACGCUUUCAUCAUCUGCUUCUUCAUCUAAUCCCCACCAAACCCUUCAUCGGUUUCUUCAUGGAUCGGAAACUCGUCUCCUCGCCGGUCCUGUGGAAGCUCUCCGAUCUGCUUCUCAACGAGUCUGUCCCAUUUCUUGGAUUAGAAGAUCAGCUCGAAAGCAUCGAGAGUAAGCUCAGAGAUAUUGUUAACUCUGACUUCUUUGAUUGCAAGAGGGACCUUGUUUAUGACAUUGAAGAGGUCAUCGAUUUCUUGCUCCAAAAAGCUGCUCACAGAAGCCAAACAGGUACCCUUUUCCAAUAUUUUUUGGGUUUCUUUGAUUCUAUCGAUCAACGCACGCUUCGUAAGAAGUUGGAUCGAAUCAGGCUUGAAAUUUUUCGUUCUACUGAUAAAUUAAGUCGCCGGAAGGUAAUGGAGUCAUGGCCUGCUUCUUCGUCGUCUUCUUCGUCUUCAACGAGGAAGCAGCUUGAUGUGGGUGAGAGUAUUAUGUCUCCUGUAAUCAGGAAAGUUAUUGCCCUAGCUAGUCACAGUCAAAUUAGCCCUUCGGUGAGAAGGCGAGCCAGAUGGGUAAGAGAUGAAAUGAGGUUCUUGCAUGUUUUUGUCAAGGAUUUAGAGUCCAAAGAAUUGAGAGGAGAAGAAAUGGCUUGGAUGGAAGAAGUUUCCCUGUUUUCUCGCUCGGCGGAGGACGUUGUUGGGCUCUUCUUGUCUCAGUGGGAACAGACCCAGAAGUCUCCUUUCAAGCAUAUUGCUUCGGCUUCCUGCAAAUUCAAGUCACAGCGUAAACUUCGCAAGGAGAUGGAUCAGAUGAAGAUUAAAGUUCAAGAAAUCAUCAAAAGGUUUGGUAAACUCCCACAUCAAAUGUAUAUGCCACCUCCCCGAUUUCCUCCAAAUUUACCACCACCACCUCCUAUUCCUUUUCAACCCAACUUUCCUGGUCGAUUUGUUCCCAAUAUUCCAGGAGAUGCAACCUCAUUGUCUUCUUUUGAUGAUGAUGAUUUUGCCGAUGAAUUUGAUGAAAUAGAUGAUGGAACACCGCCCCCUCCUGAUGAACAAUCUCAGCAACCUGGUUUCAAUAACUUUGAUGGCAAUGCCGGUGCUUCCUCCUCAUCAUCUUCUCGCAGAGCUGAACAACCUGAUAUUACUGGCUUCGAUAGCAAUAUGGAUGAUAUUAUGGAGUUAUUGCUCAGAGGUGAUCCAGAUUGUCUUACAGUUUCACUUCUGGGUAUGGAAGGCAUUGGUAAGACAAAGCUUGCUAAGUCUAUUUAUGAAAAUCCUGCUAUUAGAGAUCAUUUCCCUCAUCGUGCUUGGGUCAGUUGGGUGCGUGACUCUAAUAUCAAUCGCCUUAUGGAACAAAUAGUAGGGCCUCAGUAUUUAAACAUUAGACUUGUGAAUGGGGAUUGGGAUGAUUAUUUAUGCAGGUUGAGGCGGAUGCUGAAUGAU
rnacentral:misc_RNA from 1 species